GACGAACGCUGGCGGCGUGCUUAACACAUGCAAGUCGAACGGAAAGGCCCUGCUUUUGUGGGGUGCUCGAGUGGCGAACGGGUGAGUAACAUGUGAGUAACCUGCCCUUGACUUUGGGAUAACUUCAGGAAACUGGGGCUAAUACCGGAUAGGAGCUCCUGCUGCAUGGUGGGGGUUGGAAAGUUUCGGCGGUUGGGGAUGGACUCGCGGCUUAUCAGCUUGUUGGUGGGGUAGUGGCUUACCAAGGCUUUGACGGGUAGCCGGCCUGAGAGGGUGACCGGCCACAUUGGGACUGAGAUACGGCCCAGACUCCUACGGGAGGCAGCAGUGGGGAAUAUUGCACAAUGGGCGGAAGCCUGAUGCAGCAACGCCGCGUGCGGGAUGACGGCCUGCGGGUUGUAAACCGCUUUCGCCUGUGACGAAGCGUGAGUGACGGUAAUGGGUAAAGAAGCACCGGCUAACUACGUG
rnacentral:rRNA from 1 species